UACGUAGGGGGCAAGCGUUGUCCGGAAUCAUUGGGCGUAAAGCGCGUGUAGGCGGCCCGAUAAGUCCGCUGUGAAAGUCCAGGGCUCAACCCUGGGAUGCCGGUGGAUACUGUCGGGCUCGAGUCCGGAAGAGGAGUGUGGAAUUCCUGGUGUAGCGGUGAAAUGCGCAGAUAUCAGGAGGAACACCAAUGGCGAAGGCAGCACUCUGGGACGUGACUGACGCUGAGGCGCGAAAGCCAGGGGAGCGAACGGG
rnacentral:rRNA from 1 species